rnacentral:rRNA from 1 species
UACGAGGGGGGCGAGCGUUGUUCGGAAUUAUUGGGCGUAAAGGGUGCGUAGGCGGUUUGGUAAGUCUUGUGUGAAAUCUUCGGGCUCAACUCGAAGGCUGCACGAGAAACUGCCGGGCUUGAGUAUGGGAGAGGUGAGUGGAACUGCGAGUGUAGAGGUGAAAUUCGUAGAUAUUCGCAAGAACACCAGUGGCGAAGGCGGCUCACUGGCCCGAUACUGACGCUGAGGCACGAAAGCGUGGGGAGCAAACAGG